UACGUAGGGUGCGAGCGUUAAUCGGAAUUACUGGGCGUAAAGCGUGCGCAGGCGGUUCGUUGUGUCGGUGGUGAAAUCCCCGGGCUCAACCUGGGAAUGGCAUUUGGGACUGCAAGGCUCGAGUGCGGCAGAGGAGACUGGAAUUCCUGGUGUAGCAGUGAAAUGCGUAGAUAUCAGGAGGAACACCGAUGGCGAAGGCAGGUCUCUGGGCUGACACUGACGCUCAUGCACGAAAGCGUGGGGAGCAAACAGG
rnacentral:rRNA from 1 species